rnacentral:tRNA from 1 species
GCCUGGGUGGCUCAGUCGGUUGAGCGUCUGACUUCGGCUCAGGUCAUGAUCUCACAGCUCGUGAGUUCAAGCCCCGCGUCAGGCU